rnacentral:rRNA from 1 species
AUUGAACGCUGGCGGCAGGCCUAACACAUGCAAGUCGAGCGGAUGAAGGGAGCUUGCUCCUGGAUUCAGCGGCGGACGGGUGAGUAAUGCCUAGGAAUCUGCCUGGUAGUGGGGGAUAACGUCCGGAAACGGGCGCUAAUACCGCAUACGUCCUGAGGGAGAAAGUGGGGGAUCUUCGGACCUCACGCUAUCAGAUGAGCCUAGGUCGGAUUAGCUAGUUGGUGGGGUAAGGGCCUACCAAGGCGACGAUCCGUAACUGGUCUGAGAGGAGGAUCAGUCACACUGGAACGGGGAAACGGUCCAGACCCCUACGGGAGGCAGCAGUGGGGAAUAUUGGACAAUGGGCGAAAGCCUGAUCCAGCCAGGCCGCGUGUGUGAAGAAGGUCUUCGGAUGGUAAAGCACUUUAAGUUGGGAGGAAGGGCAGUAAGUUAAUACCUUGCUGUUUGGACGUUACCAACAGAAUAAGCACCGGCUAACUUCGU